CCAGUAGCAUACGCUUGUCUCAAAGAUUAAGCCAUGCAUGUCUAAGUAUAAACAACUUUAUACGUGAAACUGCGAAUGGCUCAUUAUAUCAGUUAUAGUUUAUUUGAUGGUCAUUGCUACUUGGAUAACCGUAGUAAUUCUAGAGCUAAUACAUGCAUAAAACUCCGACUUCUGGAAGGAGUGUACUUAUUAGAUGGAAACCAAUGCGGGGAAACCCGGAUCAUGGUGAUUCAUAAUAAUUUUCGGAUCGAUCGUAGGAUCGAUGCAUCAUUCAAGUUUCUGCCCUAUCAGCUUUGGAUGGUAGGGUAUUGGCCUACCAUGGCAUUUACGGGUAACGGAGAAUUAGGGUUCGAUUCCGGAGAGGGAGCCUGAGAAAUGGCUACCACAUCCAAGGAAGGCAGCAGGC
rnacentral:rRNA from 1 species